GGAAGCAGGUCACAGGUCAUAUCCAGCAAAGAUGUUUCAACCCUGACACGACUCCCCAAACUUACAAGAAAAAAAAAAAGUGACCAAUAGAGCAGGAAGUAAAAAAACAUCUGUCCUCUAAGAAAGAGCUGAAGAUGUAUGAAAAGAGCAGCAUGUAGUGACCUUUGACCCUUCAGAUCAGUGAUGAUAGAAAAACCAGCAGCUCGCUUGGAACACAAGAGCAUAGUAAAGAGUUCAAACUCAUGGUGUCGCACACUAAUCUGUUUCAAAAUGUUUCACUUUGAGACGAAUCUAUAGAAUAUUUAUAGUUCCACUUUCUGAAAUAAGAGACAAAAUAAUGAAAGUUUUCCACACUAUUUUCAUUUUUUUGCACCUCCAGGUUACACAAAGCACUGAGUCAGGUUUAUAUAAGGCAUCUUCCAAAAGUAUGUACAAACCCCAAGACUUUUACAUAGUAUAUAACCACAAACUAUGUGUUUUUGUUGGGAGUUCAUGAACAACACAAAUCAGUUCAAUAUUAAGAAGAGGAAGGGUACUGAUACAUGGUCUGUGUUUCUUACAUUACUUCCAGUCGGAAGUAACAAGUACUCAAAUUAGUAAUGAGAUUACUUUAAGCUAGGGAUUUUCUAAUCAGGUUUUAUCCUGUCGAUCAUUGAUACCGAUCACACAGAUUGUUUUUUUUAAUUGUUUGAGAAAUACUACUGGCUGAAACGGAAACAUAAGUCACUUGAAUUUUGACGACAAAAAUCAAACUUGCACAACAACGCAGCAGGAUAGCUGAAAUCCUGACUGUAAGGCUCUCAGCAGUCUAAAGUCAAAUAAAUCUCAAAACGUUGUCCAUAUCAAAUAAUGGUAAAUUAAGAAAGGAAUCAUUCCAAGUCAAAUCCAGGUAGCAUUGUUGAUAGCUAACUUCUGUGCAAGAGGAAAUUCUGUUGCACAGUAUGAAAAACAAAAAAAAUUAAUAAUUUAUAAAUGAAUAGAAAUAAUGAAUCAGGGCUUUUUUUCCAUGCCCAAGAGGGGGACAGGAGGUGUACAUCUGGUUAGUCCAGGGAGGUUGCAGUUCUGGAAUAUUACAGCACUGGAAGAUAACGUGUUCCUGGUAGCUUCACGUUUGAUUAAUUGUGUAUUAUUGUGCUCACAGUGCAGGAUUCUCAGAAAAUUAGCUUUCACAGAGGUACAGGUGAAACUGCUGCAAUAACAGCUCUCAAACCGCCAAGUUUGAGUGAAAGCCGGCAUGUGUGAUGUCUGUGCCGUGGUUCAACACUUCAGAGGUGCAGACUGGGAACGAAGCGGCCAACGCGCAGAGGUGCUUUUAGUGCACGCUCCAGGCCUCGCGCCCAGUUCCGUCCAUCAACUGUUAACUCAUCUUUGAUAUCACUGUUACUGGUGUAUAAAAAAACCGGCCAAUAUCUACAGUAAAGAAACAAACUACACUAACCCUGGCAAACAAGGGGCAGGGAGGACAAGUAAAGCUAGGCAUCCCACUGGGGGAAACCCCCGUAAAAUGGCAGCUCUGGCGCAGCAAUGGAAGAGCAAAAGUGAAUAUUUAAAUCAGUCACACUGAUUGUCAUGGAGGAUUAGAUGUCUGCCGAGGCUGUUGUCCCCGUGAGGCGAGCUAAAUGGGUCAGACAGCUGCUUUGAGAUUUGUGCAGUGACAAAACAUUUUCCCCGCAAGAUCCAUGCUGCAGCCUUCCUGCGCACAGUGUGCAAAAACAUGUGCCAGCUCAGCUCCCAUUGGUUUACUACCCAACUUGUCCAUCACAGCCCAGUGCUGCUUGUUCCCUGUGUCUUUACGUCUUUAGUGUUUUCCCCUGGCUUCAUAUCGCUGAAAGGUCUCUGGUGGAUCUGAAUUAAAAUUUUGCCAAAACCCAAGGCCCACCUCCACCUUAAUUUUGAUUGGCUAGUAAGCCUGUCUCAUGGGAUUGGAAAUGAAAGCCAAAAAACCCCCUUUGAAAACUAGAUGCAUUCUUUUUUUACAGCAAAUGUGCAAAAUCAUUUUAAAAUCUUUGGAUCUACAAUGAAUAACAUCCCAUUAC